rnacentral:rRNA from 1 species
AAAAUUUAUGAAUUAAAAAAUUUUGGCGGUAUUUUAAGCUUAUUAGAGGAAUUUGCUCUGUGAUGGACACAACGCCUUAAUCUUACUUAAUUUAGUAAUUUAAAUCAGUUUGUAUACCACUAUAUUAAUUAUAUUGAAUAGUUAUAUUUAAAAUUUUUUUAAAAAAAAUAUAUUAAGUCAAGGUGCAUCUAAUAAUUAUGAAUGAAGUGAAUUACAUUAAUUUUAAUGUAAUUUUUUACAUGAAAAAAUUAAUUAGGAUUUAAUAGUAAAAUACUAAUAUUAUGAGUAUUUGAAUCAAGCUCUAAAAUAUGCAC